GGUUAUUGAGGGGAAUGUUGUUUGGCUCGAGGCCCCUAGCUAGAUCUAUGAUCUCCAUCUCAAUUGGCGACAAUUUUAACCACCAACCUUAAAAAAUUUACAGUACCAGUUGAGAAAGAUCAUCGAUUCUACGUUUAACGACCUCGGACCAGGCUUCAUUCCCCCCAAUUACU
rnacentral:pre_miRNA from 1 species